rnacentral:rRNA from 1 species
GACGAACGCUGGCGGCGUGCUUAACACAUGCAAGUCGAACGGAAAGGCCCUGCUUUUGUGGGGUGCUCGAGUGGCGAACGGGUGAGCAACACGUGAGUAACCUGCCCUUGACUUUGGGAUAACUUCAGGAAACUGGGGCUAAUACCGGAUAGGAGCUCCUGCUGCAUGGUGGGGGUUGGAAAGUUUCGGCGGUUGGGGAUGGACUCGCGGCUUAUCAGCUUGUUGGUGGGGUAGUGGCUUACCAAGGCUUUGACGGGUAGCCGGCCUGAGAGGGUGACCGGCCUCAUUGGGACUGGGAUACGGCCCAGACUCCUACGGGAGGCAGCAGUGGGGAAUAUUGCACAAUGGGCGGACGCCUGAUGCAGCAACGCCGCGUGCGGGAUGACGGCCUUCGGGUUGUAAACCGCUUUCGCCUGUGACGAAGCGUGAGUGACGGUAAUGGGUAAAGAAGCACCGGCUAACUACGUG